CCUACGGGUGGCAGCAGUGAGGAAUAUUGGUCAAUGGGCGGGAGCCUGAACCAGCCAAGCCGCGUGAGGGAAGCAGGUACCGCGUAUUGUAAACUUCUUUUGUCAGGGAACAAAAUCGGGGUCUAGUCCCUGGCUGAGGGUACUUGAAGAAAAAGCAUCGGCUACCUCCGUGCCAGCAGCCGCGGUAAUACGGAGGAUGCGAGCGUUAUCCGGAUUUAUUGGGUUAAAGGGGUGCGAAGGCGGCCUGUUAAGUCAGCGGUAAAAGCCCGGGGCUCAACCCCGGCGAGCCGUUGAAACUGGCGGGCUUGAGUUGGAGAGAGGUACGCGGAAUGCGCGGUGUAGCGGUGAAAUGCUUAGAUAUCGCGCAGAACCCCGAUUGCGAAGGCAGCGUACCGGCUCCACACUGACGCUGAGGCACGAAAGCGUGGGUAUCGAACAGGAUUAGAUACCCGAGUAGUC
rnacentral:rRNA from 1 species